AAAUGGAACUGGGGACAACAGAUAUGUUUAUGCAUUCAAUGAAUUGGUUAUUCCAUCAAUCCAGAAGUUUGGACCUGAUAUGAUUGUUUUGACAAUUGGACUAGACUCUAGUGCAUUUGAUCCAAAUGGAAGGCAAUGCUUAACAAUAGAGGGUUAUAGAAAAAUUGGGAAGAUUGUUCAUGAUCUUGCAAAACAGCACAGUGAUGGACGCCUUGUAAUUGUUCAAGAAGGUGGAUACCAUGUUACAUAUUCAGCAUACUAUUUACAUGCAUUUCUG